rnacentral:lncRNA from 1 species
AACAUUCUAGAUUCGACUAUAACGUCUGGGUCGUGUUUGGGGUGUUACAAAUUUUUUUAAUUUUGUUUGUACUUUUCUUUUUAUUUUUAGUUAUUUUUUAUGUUAUUUGUGAAACUUAUUUAUUUUUAUUUUGAACCUUGUUAUUUUUAUUAUUUUGAUGGUUGUUUUUGUUCGACAUUGUAAUUUUUUUAUCUUCUUAUUUAUUUUGUUUAACUUCUUAUUAGUCUAUUAUGGCAAUUUCAUCCCAAUUCAAGGCAGAUUCAAUUCUCUCUAUCCCUUAUGAUAUUGUGUUUAUUCUGUGAUUAUAUCUAUUUCUAC